rnacentral:rRNA from 1 species
UACGUAGGGGGCAAGCGUUGUCCGGAAUCAUUGGGCGUAAAGCGCGUGUAGGCGGCUUGGUAAGUCCGCUCUGAAAGCCCGGGGCUCAACCCCGGGAGGCGGGUGGAUACUGUCAAGCUCGAGUCCGGAAGAGGAGAGUGGAAUUCCUGGUGUAGCGGUGAAAUGCGCAGAUAUCAGGAAGAACACCAAUGGCGAAGGCAGCUCUCUGGGACGGUACUGACGCUGAGACGCGAAAGCGUGGGGAGCGAACAGG